AAUCAUGUAUUAGCUCUUUUAAAUGGAAGAAGAAUCAAAUGGAAAUCACAUGGUGGAAUUAGGUAUGUGUUAUUAGUUUUAUCUCUGGUUUCGGUCAAAAGUUAUUUAGGUUUGAGAUGUAAUUCACAUUUUUAGAUUUGAUAUUUAUUCCUAAAACAAGUUGGAUUAUUUCAAAUUAAAUUGAUAGGAAAUGGAAUGGACGGCUUCGGAAAGAUAAACUUAUUCAUUAGUUUACGACAUAUCUUCAGAUUUAUGAGGUAUAGUGAUUUUUUUACUUUCAUCAUAAGUAUUUUAUAAUUAUUUGAUUUUGUUUAACUGAAUGUUUACGACCAGUUAGUUGUAUAUAUUUUAUGAUUAUCCAAUUCAUCUAAUUUCAUAUAAUUUUCACUACAAUUCAUUAACCAAGUAACAAUAGACUAAUUUAUCAAUAUACUCGCCAUGCCCAACCCCUUUAUUAUCUAUUCAUGUAUUAUACAAUUCAUCCAAUUUCAAAAUCGAAUAUUUGCUACAUUAUAUUUACCAUAUUGCUCUUUACUAUAUAUUGGGAUAUUCGGUGUGCGUUUAAUCCCACUUCUCAUAAUUAUAUUAUCCAAAACAUCCAUAAACAAUGAUGUCUAAUAAGUUUGGAUGUAAUAUAAAAUUUUGUAUAUUAUAGGCUCAAUUGGAGCGUCAUGACACCAUAAUGUUCCGACAGGACAAUUACAAGUUAAAAGCAUAAAAACGCCUUGUGCUAUGGAGAUGGUAUGUAAUUUACUAGCAACUUUUAUUGAUGCUAUUAGAUUAUAAAUUUUUUAAAAUUUCAAUAUUUUUUUGAAUUUAAUUAUGGACUGACCAUGCCCAUUUUUUGUAUUGUUUUUUUGCAUUAAUUAGAGUUGCCGGAUUGAGACUUGUACGGCAUUGGUUGGCAAGGGUACCACACUUGAUGUUGAUAACAAUAAGAAUGGUAUGUUUCAAAUAGUAUAAGUGGUCACUAUUGUUGAUUUGGUUAGUUUGAGAGUGGAUAAUUUUGACAUACAUAAUAAUUAUGCAUAUACGUAGAUGUGAGCUGAGUUUCAAGCAAUUUCACCGAUGAUCCACAUGCGCCAUACAAAGUUCCAUCGUUUUGCUGCAAUCAGACUGGUCUCUCGCUCACAACUAGUUAGGAUGCUUCGAGUUCGAGUUUAAGUAGGUCUUGGUAGCAUGAGGAGGUCCUAAUGCUUUCCCUUUUGGUUGUGUCAUUUAGAGUUAGAUAGUAGCUGUUGUAAGGUAAUUAAAGAUGUAUGAUAUAUAAGUUCUCUCUCAAUUUGGGUCAAGAAACUUUGUACUUCAAUAAUCAUUUAUAAUCAGAAGUUGAUCUAACUUUGGCCUACAAAAAUUUCAUACAAA
rnacentral:lncRNA from 1 species